rnacentral:rRNA from 1 species
CAGUCGCCGCGGUAAUACGGAGGGUGCAAGCGUUAAUCGGAAUUACUGGGCGUAAAGCGUGCGUAGGCGGUUCGUUAAGUCUGUUGUGAAAGCCCCGGGCUCAACCUGGGAAUGGCAAUGGAUACUGGCUAGCCAGAGUGUGUCAGAGGAUGGUGGAAUUCCCGGUGUAGCGGUGAAAUGCGUAGAGAUCGGGAGGAACAUCAGUGGCGAAGGCGGCCAUCUGGGACAACACUGACGCUGAGGCACGAAAGCGUGGGGAGCAAACGGGAUUAGAUACCCCGGUAGUCCCUGUCUCUUAUAC